rnacentral:lncRNA from 1 species
GCAAGUUUUUAAUAUUGUGAAAGUCUGAUUAAUUUGUGUUUGUCAAGUUUUUUUCCUAUUGUGGAAAUUGAGUAGUAUUAAUAAUUUUUUUUUGUUCUUUCAUUUACUAAAAUGAAUUUUUUUUUCAUUAAAUUAGAGGUGAAGUUUUGUUCUCCAUGAAUUCUUCAAAAACAUCUGCUGAUCAAGAAUCUAGAUUUUGUAACAUUGAUGGUACUUCUCAAAACACAAGUAAAUCAUAUACUGCCUUUAUUCGCCAACAACAAAAUCAAAGACAGACGGAUAGGAGGAAUCGAAUUCAAACUCCACGCAUUGAUUAUCAUAAAAGGAUAAAUGAUUCUACAUUAUCUGGAAAAAAUAAUUUAGGUGCUUCCCAUGCUCAGAAGUUUACUGUUCCUCCUAUUUUCCAAGCUUCCACUUCAAAUCAAGAAUCGACUAAUAUUGUUCAUUCUAAAGUACGAGGAUUUUCUAACCUAUUGAACAUACCAAUUAAUGCAUAUGCAUUACCGACAUAGAACUACUAUGAACAUUGUGGUGCACGAAAAUUUUAUAGAGAAACUAAAGAGUUUUGUUGUUCUGAUGGAAAAGUUAAACUUUAUAUGCCUGAUUCACCGACUGAAUUGUAUGAUUUAUUUACUUCUAAAGAACCUGAAUGCAUGGAAUUUAAGAAAAUUGCACGUGGAUAUAAUAACCAUUUUGCUUUCACUUCGUUUGGUGUAAAAUAUGAUAAAGAACUUUUUAGAACAUAUAAAGAUAUUUACACUUUCAGAGUUCAGGGAUAAGUAUAUCAUUAUGUGAAUCAACUUAUGCCAGAAAAAUAAUGAACCUUCUUAUAUGCAGUUAUAUGUUUAUGAUGCAGAUAACGAAAUUGAAAAUCGUAUGAAAAUUUCAGAAAAUUUUGUUAAAUCUACUUUGAUCAUUUUGAUUGAAAUCUUGAAAGUAAAUCCAUAUAGUAGAUUCUUUAGGUCUUUAAGUAAUAUGACUAAUUUGCAUGACCAUCGAAUACAAAUAAGAUGCGAUCCUGGACUUGAUCAAAGAGUCUUCAAUACUCCUUCGAUAUCUCAAGUAGCUGCUGUAUGGGUUGAUGAUGAUGACAAUGCAAAUAUCCGUGCUCGUGAUAUUACUAUAUAUGGUCAUUCUGGUGAUUCACAUAGGGUUCAUUAUUAUUAUGGUUGUUAUGAUCCUUUGCAAUAUCCUUUACUUUUCCCAUUUGGAGAAUUUGGUUGGCAUGAAGGUAUUCAAAGAUACUAAAAGACAGAUUUUGAAACUCAAAAUUUAGUUGACUGCGUAGCUUUUCCUAGCGCAGUAAAUUUUGCAACCGAAAUCAAUGAAAAAGAGACCGGAGGUUUGGUAAUACACUUUUUUGUAUGUUUUCUAACUUAUAUAAAGUAAGUGUUCUAGAUGGACGUAAGAUGCAUUUUCUUUAUCCUCAUGCAGUGCUCAAUGGAAUGAAGAAACGAUCUCAGGUUUCUUGUCGGGAGUACUAUUCUUACAAGUUACAAAUUAGACCUUCUGGUAAGUCUGUGUUACUUCACACUGGUAGACUUUUCAACAAUAUGUUGUAGAUAUGUACGUUAAGAUUGAAACUACCAGAUUAGACUAUUUUCAUAGCAAUCAAAAGCAAAUUCGUGCUGAACUUUAUCAAGGUAUUGUAGAUAGUAUUCAAAAUGGGGAAACAAGAGGGUCAAAAAUUGGUAAGAAGAUUUUUCUACUACAGACUUUCACAUGUGGGCCUAGAGAUAUGAUCAAAGGAUAUUUAGAUGCAAUGGCUAUCGUUCAACGCUAUGGAAAACCAAAUAUAUUUCUAACUAUAAUUUGUAAUCAAAAUUGGCCUGAAAUUACGGAAGAAUUGAAAUACAAUGACGAAGUUCAAAAUCGACCAGAUUUAAUUACACGUAUAUUUAAAGCAAAGUUAGAAAAAUUAAAAAAAGAUUUGUACAAAGAUAAUAUUUUUGGCCCAAUUAUUGCUCAUAUAUAUACAUGAUUGAAUUUCAAAAAAGAGGGUUUCCUCAUGCACAUUUAUUGUUGAUUUUCAAUUCUGCCCAUAAAAUUUGCUGCACUGAACAAGUUGAUAUGAUAGUGUCAUGUGAAAUUCCUGAUAAAAAUAAAUACUUGCAUCUUCAUUCUGUAAUUGCAAAACACAAUAUGCACGGUCCCUGUGGAAAUCUUAAUCCAAGAAAUGUGUGUAUGUUGGCAAGCAGUGGUUGUAAAAAUAAAUAUCCUAAGGAUUAUUGUAACAGUACUACAUUUGGUGAUAAAUCAUAUCCAUUGUAUAGACGUCAUAAUAAUUGUAUUUCUAUUAAAGUGAGAGGUCAAAUAUUAGAUAAUUGAUGAGUUGUACCAUAUAAUCCUUAUCUAAGUGCAAAAUUUGACUGUUCUAUUAACGUUGAAGUAUGUUCUUCUAUUAAAACAGUGAAGUAUUUGUACAAAUAUGUGUAUAAAGGAUAUGAUCGUAUUAAUUGUUUCAUAGGUAGAAAUGAAACGGACAAAGAAAUUGAUGAAAUUUCUGCUUAUCAAUCAGUUAGAUGGAUAUCUCCAC